GACGAACGCUGGCGGCGUGCUUAACACAUGCAAGUCGAACGGAAAGGCCCUGCUUUUGUGGGGUGCUCGAGUGGCGAACGGGUGAGUAACACGUGAGUAACCUGCCCUUGACUUUGGGAUAACUUCAGGAAACUGGGGCUAAUACCGGAUAGGAGCUCCUGCUGCAUGGUGGGGGUUGGAAAGUUUCGGCGGUUGGGGAUGGACUCGCGGCUUAUCAGCUUGUUGGUGGGGUAGUGGCUGACCAAGGCUUUGACGGGUAGCCGGCCUGGGAGGGUGACCGGCCACAAGGGGACUAAGGGAGGGCCCAGUGUCGUAUAGGGGGCAGCGGGGGGGAGUAUUACACAAUGAGCGGAAGCCUGAUGCGACGGCGCUGCGUGCGGGAUGACGGCCUUCGGGUUGUAAACCGCUUUCGCCUGUGACGAAGCGUGAGUGACGGUACUGGGUAAAUAAGCACCGGCUAACUACGUG
rnacentral:rRNA from 1 species